rnacentral:rRNA from 1 species
AUUGAACGCUGGCGGCAGGCCUAACACAUGCAAGUCGAACGAGUGGCGGACGGGUGAGUAAUGUCUGGGAAACUGCCUGAUAGAGGGGGAUAACUACUGGAAACGGUAGCUAAUACCGCAUACCAUCGGAUGUGCCCAGAUGGGAGUAGCUAGUAGGUGGGGUAAAGGCUCACCUAGGCGACGAUCCCUAGCUGGUCUGAGAGGAUGACCAGCCACACUGGAACGGAAAAACUGGCCAGAAUCCUACGAGAGGCAGCAGUGGGGAAUAUUGCACAAUGGGCGCAAGCCUGAUGCAGCCAUGCCGCGUGUAUGAAGAAGGCCUUCGGGGUGGAAAGUACUUUCAGCGGGGAGGCGUUACCCGCAGAAGAAGCACCGGCUAACUCCGUGCCAGCCGCCGCGGUAAUUC